rnacentral:lncRNA from 1 species
CAUGAGCAUAGACAAAAAACUAUCAUUCUUCUGUUUGGCUGGCUAUGCAACCGAAAGUGGGAAGCAAGAAGAGAAAAUCAGGUGUACAGCGGAAGGCUGGUCUCCAAAACCAAGGUGCUACAGAUACAAAACGACUGGGGGAAAGGAUGAAGAAGUGGUCCAGUGUCUUUCUGAAGGGUGGUCUUCUCAACCGUCCUGCAGGAAAGAACAAGAGACAUGUUUGGCCCCUGAGUUGCAUCAUGGGAAUUAUUCCACGAUACAGAGGACAUUCAAAGUGAAGGACAGAGUGCAGUACACAUGCACUGCAGGCUACUACACCGCCACAGGGAAGCAGACUGAGGAAGUGGAGUGCCAGGCUCAUGGCUGGUCCUUCACGCCACAGUGCAACAAAUUAAUGUGCUCUUCUUUGAGAUUAAUAGAAAAUGGCUAUUUUCAUCCUGUAAAGCAAACCUAUGAAGAAGGAGAUGUAGUUCAAUUUUUCUGUCAUGAAAAUUAUUACCUAAGUGGAUCUGAUUUAAUUCAGUGCUAUAACUUUGGCUGGUAUCCAGAAUCGCCCAUAUGUGAAGGAAGAAGAAAUCGAUGCCCUCCUCCACCUGUGCCUCUAAAUUCUAAAGUUGAACCGCAUUCAACAACUUACCGUCACGGAGAAGUAGUUCAUAUAGAAUGUGAGCUUAAUUUUGCGAUCCAGG